AGCGCAUAACCUCGUGUCGUUACCCGGCACGAGGGGUGUUGCGUUUCGGAGGGUCCAGCACGCCGUGCCACACCGUCUAAGUCAAGCUUGAAAGCGGCCACUACCCACUGAGGGUGACAGGCCCGUUUGGCGGCGCCCGCGAGGGUAAAGAUGGCACGGUCGGAAAGGGCCUCUCCGUAGAGUCGGGUUGCUUAAUAGUGCAGCCCAAAGCAGGUGGUAAACUCCAUCUAAGGCUAAAUAUGACCACGAGACCGAUAGCGAACAAGUACCGUGAGGGAAAGUUGAAAAGAACUUUGAAGAGAGAGUUCAAGAGUACGUGAAACCGUUAAGAGCCAAACGGAUGGAACCUCGAAGGUCGAACUGAGGGGAUUCAGCUCGUCGGCUGUCGGCUGGGUGCGAGUCUUCGUUGAGUCGGUGCGACCCGAGGAAACUCGGGCGCGCUUGCACCCACGCUGGAGUCGACGGGCGCAUUUCGCCUCGUAGUAGGGCGCCGCGACCCGUUGCUGGGGACGUCUAUGGCCCCGGUGGAUUGGUAACCUACCUUCGACGACAGCCACAUGCUGCUGCGGCGGCUGCGGCUGCUUCCGAGCGAGGUAGGCGAAACCGCCGUUGGUGAUCCUGGCUGCCCUGCGACGGUCGUAGAGACGAGCUACUGCUUGCUCUCGCGGCGUGCAAAUAGAUCGGUGAUCCAUCCGACCCGUCUUGAAACACGGACCAAGGAGUCUAACAUGUGUGCGAGUCAGUGGGCGCACUAAACCCAAAGGCGUAAUGAAAGUGAAAGAGUCUGGCGCGCGCGUCGUUCCAUGAUGCGUGCCGCCAGAAGCAUAGUAGGGCCGAUCCACCACCGCUGCCUUCCCUCCAGCGGCAGUGCCAGGUGAGCCAUUUUCCCUGGCCUCUGCCGUGGGGGCUGAGGAGGAGCGUGUAGGCGCAGGCCCGGGACUUGCCAAGACGCCGCGAGGACCACACACCACCACCACCGCCUUCUUCCGUCAGCGAGGUUGGAGAUGAUGACGACAGCUUAGGCGAUGGCGACGGUCUCCGUCGCUGUCGUGGCCGUCGUCCUCUCUCUCCACUCAACCGAGCGGCGGUAGCAGCGGGUGGUGGUGGUGGUGGUGAUGAUGAUGAUGGUGGCGCGUGCAGUCGGCAAGUACCACGAGCAGACAUGUUGGUACCCGAAAGAUGGUGAACUAUGCCUGGCCAGGAUGAAGCCAGAGGAAACUCUGGUGGAGGUCCGUAGCGAUUCUGACGUGCAAAUCGAUCGUCUGAGCUGGGUAUAGGGGCGAAAGACUAAUCGAAUCAUCUAGUAGCUGGUUCCCUCUGAAGUUUCCCUCAGGAUAGCUGGAACUCGGAGGAUGAAUGUCGUCCGGUAAAGCGAAUGAUUAGAGGUGUUGGGGACGAAACGUCCUCAACCUAUUCUCAAACUUUAAAUGGGCGAGAUGCCGAGCUUUCUUGGAACACUGGCUGUGAAGCUUCGGCGAUUAAUCUGAGUAUCUAGUGGGCCAUUUUUGGUAAGCAGAACUGGCGCUGUGGGAUGAACCAAACGUCGAGUUAAGGGGCCUAAAUGAAUGCUCAUUCAGAUCCCAUCGAAAGGCGUUGGUUGCUAUAGACAGCAGGACGGUGGCCAUGGAAGUCGGAAUCCGCUAAGGAGUGUGUAACAACUCACCUGCCGAAGCAACUAGCCCUUAAAAUGGUAUGGCGCUGAAGCAUUCUCCCGAUACUCGACCGCCGGGGCACUAGCGGCCACGUCCCAGAGGCGAGGUCUCGAAGCCCCGGUGAGUAAGAGGGUCGCAGUGGUGAGCGCUGAAGGGAUCCGGCGUGAGCCGGCCUGGAGCCGCCACUGGUGCAGAUCUUGGUGGUAGUAGCAAAUACUCGAGAGAGAGACUCCCUUGAAGACCGAUGUGGAGAAGGGUUCCAUGUGAACAUCAGUUGGACAUGGGUUAGUCGCUCCUAAGCCCAAGGCAAAUGCCUGAUCCCAUGCUAGCGGCAACGUUCGGCCAACCAAAGGAGCGUAAUAAGCAUGAGGAGAAUAAGCAGAAGACGACGACGACGAAGAUGCAGAGACUGCUGCUCAUGUGGCUGACUAGGGAGAAUGAAUACGCACCGUGCGAGGCUGCUGCUUCCGUCGAGUGCAUCUCCCGCUGUUGCAGGAGCAGCAACUGCUGUUUGGUUCUUCUUUUCUCUCAUGUGCUUCUCGUUGCCCGGGAUUAGUGGCGAAAGGGAAUACGGUACUUAUUCCGUAACCUGGACUCGGAUAAAAUAAAAAAAAACCAGGCAGGCUCCUCGCGCCCAGCAUGCAAGCAAGCGAGCUCCCGAAAGGGAAUUUUGCUACGGCUGCUGCUGGUGCUGCUGGUGAUGCUGUUGCCCUGUGUUGAGGACCCCGGUAACGGGAACCAGCUCGCGCCCAUCGGCGGUGGUCCGGGAAAGAGUUUUCUUUUCUGUUUAAGGCGCCGUGACCCUAGAAACCAUCCGCAGGGAGAAAGGGAAUUGGUAACACGGUUAGCCGUAGAGCGCCGCGGUUCUUGCGGCGUCCCGCGUGCCACCGCCGGUCCGUGAAACCGCGAGGGAGGUAACUCUGGCUAGAUUUAUUAUUAUUUGUCGGGUCUCCGCGCCCGUCAAAGAAAAUAAACAAAGCCUAAUUUCGAGCCAGUGCGUACCCAUAUCCGCA
rnacentral:rRNA from 1 species